rnacentral:rRNA from 1 species
UGGAUAUCUGCCUUUUGGUUCGGGAUAACCCUGGGAAACUAGGGCUAAUACCGAAUGGUUCCUACGGGAUAAAGAUUUAUCGCCAAAAGAUGGGUUCCGCGUCCGAUUAGCUAGUUGGUGAGGUAAUGGCUCACCAAGGCGACGAUCGGUAGCUGGUCUGAGAGGACGAUCAGCCACACUGGGACUGAGACACGGCCCAGACUACCUACGGGAGGCAG